UGUGCUCUGACUAGAGAGAGUAUAUAUGUACUUUGUACCCCGACUCGUCCUCGCCGUGCUUUACGGUUUCUCGUCUCUUCUCUUCUCUUCUUUUCUUUUCUGGUUUUAGCUUAUUUCUUCAGCAUAUUCACCGACGAAGGAAAAAAUGAGUGACGAGAGGAGGAAGAAGAGUAUUAACGGAGGUGCACCGGCGCAAACUAUCUCCGGUGACGGGAGAUCUAGUCUUCUGAAACUUGAAGCUUCUCCACUAUCAGAGAUUGUAUAUCUCUGGUUUAUUUUGGUUUAUAUUGGUUAUUGUAUUUGGUUUAGUUACACUCUCACUAUAUAAGAGAGCUUUAUUGUAACAAUCAGAUUAAGGAGAAUAACAAACUUUUACGACUUAUCUUCUUCGUUCUCCUUCACCUUCUCCAACACUAACAUGGUAUCAGAGCAGUGAGAAUCAAAAAUCCCACUCGAUUCUGCUUCAUUCUUCCGUUCUUUGACCUUGAUUUCUCGUCAAUCGUUAAUUUUGUCUUGCUCUUCGGUUAUUCCGCCGUAUUGAGCUCGAUUUUGUAUGAGAUUCUUGGCAGUUCAGCCUUAUUCCAGAUCGUUUCUCCUGAUUGAUUCGAUUUCAAUCAUUUUCUUCGGUUAUUUUGCCGAAUUGUGCUUGGAUUUUUCCAAGUUUCAGCUCAUGAUUGCUCCGCCGAUCUGUUCGGAAUUCUUUCAUUCGUGAAGGUAUAUCUUCGACUUUAAUCAGCUCUUUUGUUGAGUUUGUUUUCCUGAAAUUCAGUCGAUCCAAGUGUUGCUUCGAUUUAUCACGGUGUGAUUGAUAUCGUUGUGCUUGAUCUGUGAUUGCUUCUGUGAUGGAUUUCUAUUCGUUGUAUCCUGGCCUUUUUGAGCGUAUUGCUUCACCGAGAGAGAUUGUUGUCGAUGCCAAUCUAUUUGGAGAAAAUCCAUGGUUGAAAUUGAUGACAGAUUUGGAUUUUCUAUACGGAUCUCUUCCACGGCCACCGGAUUUACGAUCUACUGUGGCGUGUAUGUGGUUUCUAAAUUCUUUCUCUAAGCAUAUAACUUCUGGAUAUCUUUCUGUUGAUGAUGAUGUUGCGAUAUGGAGAUUAUCGGAAUGUAGAUGUGUUGCUAGAGAAAUGGAAAUUUGGUUAGAAAUCUUUCAACAAAAUCUAGAAUAUGGAAUUGAUGACGGAUGGUUAGUACUGUUGCUACAACAUUUAGUCUUCACAUUCAGAACAUAUGUGCAGCUGGUUUUAAGAGAAUGCAACAAGGAUUGCUUGAUUCUCCUUUGUGACCUCUGCAAGUUCACAAAAUUCAGAUUCUUUAUUGAGUCAUCUACUGUAUACUGUGGUGUUGUUCAUGCACUCUGUAUAGAUUCGGCAGAUGGCUUUCAAGAUCAAGAUUUUUCUAGACAGGGGGAGAAUCUUAAGUUUGCUAUUGAUAUAAGCAACUUAGACCUCUGUGAAGCUAAUUACUAUGGCUUUCUUUACUUGGAUUCGCUGGUUUGUGACAUCGAUGUGAAGAUAUUCAUGAACUUUGGAGGAUUGCAAGUGAUAGAUCCUCUUGAUGAUGGUUCAUUUGAUGGCCUUUCUGCCACUCUAAUUGCUGCUCUAGUUCAGCAUUCAAGCCUCUUUGUCAAGUCAGAAGCUUGCCGUUUUGAGGCGUUAUUGAUCUUGGUUAUUGAGAGAUUAAUUCAGUUUCACUCUUGUGUUGAAGCACAUUUGAGGCGAAUGGAACAGGGGUCUUCAUUAAUAGAACAGAGGUCUUCAUUAAUUGAGAGAUUACUUCCGUUUCACUCUUGUGUUGAAGCACAGAUGAGGCGAAUGGAAUGGAGUUCUCCAGUACUUGAGAUUUUAUUUCAGUUUCAAUCAUAUGUUUCAGCACAUAUGAGACAAAUGGAACAAUUAUCUCCAUUCACUAUUGGUAUGGAGGUUAUGAUACUAUCAUGUUUGAAGAAGAUGAAUGGUUUUACCUCAAAAUGGUCAGAUCUACAUGUCAUAUUUGGAUCACAAAGUUGUGUUUCAAGACAGAGGGAGAUCUGGCCUGGAUUGGCUACUUUGAUUCAUGAAGUUGAUUGUGUUUUUGCUGGAAAGGGAUUAUGCUUUGAAUAAAAGAUGUCUCUCUGGUUGAAGUGCUUUCUCUUCGUUAUGCUUGGAUGUAACAGUACAAAUAUUCACCGUGAGUUGGUGUUUGCCUUGUGUGCAACACUUGAGUUGCUGGUGACAGAGUCUGCUACAACCGCAUCUAAGGUCUUUAUACAAAGACAGAAUUGUUUUGUGAUUUUCUUGGAUUUAUGGUUGUGGCUAUUUCUAGUCAAUUUUGUACAUGGAUUGAAAUCCUCUAUGGCUCAUCACCGAAACCACCAGAAGUGCAGUGUGACUUCAGUUCCAAGCCCCUCCAAUUUCCAUGGAAUUCUCAAGUCCAAGAUGAAAGUCUCUUCCAUCUUGAGGGGGAGUAUCAGAGAUUGUAUAUCUCUGGUUUAUUUUGGUUUAUAUUGGUUAUUGUAUUUGGUUUAGUUACACUCUCACUACAUAAGAGAGCUUUAUUGUAACAAUCAGAUUAAGGAGAAUAACAAACUUUUACGACUUAUCUUCUUCGUUCUCCUUCACCUUCUCCAACACUAACAUCCACCUCCGGGAAAACGAGCUGUCAUCAAGAGUGCUGAUAUGAAAGAGGAUAUGCAGAAGGAGGCUAUCGAUAUCGCUAUCACC
rnacentral:lncRNA from 1 species